rnacentral:tRNA from 1 species
GGAUUGUUUGUCAGCAUGGUUUGCGUGAUCGUACCUCGCCUGGGGCGUCUCGAUGGUGUCGACACCGAGCCUGAUACCCUACGGUGCCGCGGGUUCGAUUCCCGCACGCUCCA